rnacentral:rRNA from 1 species
GAUGAACGCUGGCGGCGUGCCUAAUACAUGCAAGUCGAGCGAACGGACGAGAAGCUUGCUUCUCUGAUGUUAGCGGCGGACGGGUGAGUAACACGUGGAUAACCUACCUAUAAGACUGGGAUAACUUCGGGAAACCGGAGCUAAUACCGGAUAAUAUUUUGAACCGCAUGGUUCAAAAGUGAAAGACGGUCUUGCUGUCACUUAUAGAUGGAUCCGCGCUGCAUUAGCUAGUUGGUAAGGUAACGGCUUACCAAGGCAACGAUGCAUAGCCGACCUGAGAGGGUGAUCGGCCACACUGGAACUGAGACACGGUCCAGACUCCUACGGGAGGCAGCAGUAGGGAAUCUUCCGCAAUGGGCGAAAGCCUGACGGAGCAACGCCGCGUGAGUGAUGAAGGUCUUCGGAUCGUAAAACUCUGUUAUUAGGGAAGAACAUAUGUGUAAGUAACUGUGCACAUCUUGACGGUACCUAAUCAGAAAGCCACGGCUAACUACGUGCCAGCAGCCGCGGUAAUACGUAGGUGGCAAGCGUUAUCCGGAAUUAUUGGGCGUAAAGCGCGCGUAGGCGGUUUUUUAAGUCUGAUGUGAAAGCCCACGGCUCAACCGUGGAGGGUCAUUGGAAACUGGAAAACUUGAGUGCAGAAGAGGAGAGUGGAAUUCCAUGUGUAGCGGUGAAAUGCGCAGAGAUAUGGAGGAACACCAGUGGCGAAGGCGACUUUCUGGUCUGUAACUGACGCUGAUGUGCGAAAGCGUGGGGAUCAAACAGGAUUAGAUACCCUGGUAGUCCACGCCGUAAACGAUGAGUGCUAAGUGUUAGGGGGUUUCCGCCCCUUAGUGCUGCAGCUAACGCAUUAAGCACUCCGCCUGGGGAGUACGACCGCAAGGUUGAAACUCAAAGGAAUUGACGGGGACCCGCACAAGCGGUGGAGCAUGUGGUUUAAUUCGAAGCAACGCGAAGAACCUUACCAAAUCUUGACAUCCUUUGACAACUCUAGAGAUAGAGCCUUCCCCUUCGGGGGGGCAAAGUGACAGGUGGUGCAUGGUUGUCGUCAGCUCGUGUCGUGAGAUGUUGGGUUAAGUCCCGCAACGAGCGCAACCCUUAAGCUUAGUUGCCAUCAUUAAGUUGGGCACUCUAAGUUGACUGCCGGUGACAAACCGGAGGAAGGUGGGGAUGACGUCAAAUCAUCAUGCCCCUUAUGAUUUGGGCUACACACGUGCUACAAUGGACAAUACAAAGGGCAGCGAAACCGCGAGGUCAAGCAAAUCCCAUAAAGUUGUUCUCAGUUCGGAUUGUAGUCUGCAACUCGACUACAUGAAGCUGGAAUCGCUAGUAAUCGUAGAUCAGCAUGCUACGGUGAAUACGUUCCCGGGUCU